GCCGAGAAGACCUAUGUAAAUGAACCCAGGAAAAGUACACCUGGGUGAGAAGAAUCCCUUGUCCGGGUUCUGAGUGACUCACCAGCCUGGCCAACAGGAUACAAGGACCAUCUUUUCUGGAAGCGAGCACUGGGAAAUGCCAGCCUUGACCGGUUCUCUUCUUGGCACAGAAGACCUGCCAUCUGCCACCCAGUGUCUCUCCCUGGAUACCAGUCACGUCAGUUGGCGGUGACCUGUCCCCUACCCUGCUCAGCACAGGAGGCCCUCCCUAAUUUCUUGGAUUAAUUUGAAUUGACUGCGCUGAAUUGAAUUGACGUGACCCUAAUGGAAGUGAAUAGAAUUGAGUGGCAGAUUCCAGGCUCCAUCAGAGCCCACAGACACACAGUUUUGAGUGUCAGUCCACAAAACUGCACGAUGAUGUUGAGCCGUGGUUUCUAUUUUCUCCUUGAAGGAGUGAGUGGAUGGGAGUGGAUGCUGGGGACUAAGAAGAGAGACCACGGGACUUAAAGGCUGGAGAACAGGAAGGGGUUCUGAGCUGGUCCACUAUCCUUCUGUCAGGGGUCAGCCCUGUGUCUAACACAGCAGGGGCUCCAUGAGAAAUGACUGGAGAAUGCAGAGAUGAGAAAUGAAGGAGUGGAUAAGCGGAUGGUGAAGGCAAGCGAGAGAGAGGGGGCCCAUGUCCUGUCAGUGUCCUCUUUCCCCCCUCUGGGUCCCCUAGCCUAUAACUCACUGCUCUCCUCCCCACAUCCAGUUAAAUGCCACCCCUUGCAAAGCUCAGCUCAUGUUAAGUUCCAAGAAACAGCCACCAUGAGGAGGAAAGGCUGGAUGGCAACAUCAAAGCUCCUCUUCGCUCAGAAUGGGGACCCGCUCGAUUCCACAUGGCCCAGAGGUUUCUGGUAGAUGGCAACCAAGCA